CCUACGGGUGGCAGCAGUGGGGAAUAUUGCACAAUGGGGGAAACCCUGAUGCAGCGACGCCGCGUGAGUGAAGAAGUAAUUCGUUAUGUAAAGCUCUAUCAGCAGGGAAGAAAAUGACGGUACCUGAGUAAGACGCCCCGGCUAACUACGUGCCAGCAGCCGCGGUAAUACGUAGGGGGCAAGCGUUCUCCGGAUUUACUGGGUGGAAAGGGAGCGUAGACGGCAGUGCAAGUCUGGAGUGAAAGGCGGGGGCUCAACCCCCGGACUGCUCUGGAAACUGUACGGCUGGAGUGCAGGAGAGGUAAGUGGAAUUCCUAGUGUAGCGGUGAAAUGCGUAGAUAUUAGGAGGAACACCAGUGGCGAAGGCGGCUUACUGGACUGUAACUGACGUUGAGGCUCGAAAGCGUGGGGAGCAAACAGGAUUAGAUACCCUUGUAGUC
rnacentral:rRNA from 1 species